AAAAAUGACUCUCGGCAACGGAUAUCUCGGCUCUUGCAUCGAUGAAGAACGUAGCGAAAUGCGAUACUUGGUGUGAAUUGCAGAAUCCCGUGAACCAUCGAGUCUUUGAACGCAAGUUGCGCCCAAAGCCAUUUGGUUGAGGGCACGCCYGCCUGGGUGUCGUG
rnacentral:rRNA from 1 species